CCUACGGGUUGCACCAGUGGGGAAUAUUGCACAAUGGGCGCAAGCCUGAUGCAGCCAUGCCGCGUGUAUGAAGAAGGCCCUAGGGUUGUAAAGUACUUUCAGUCGGGAGGAAGGCGUUGAUGCUAAUAUCAUCAACGAUUGACGUUACCGACAGAAGAAGCACCGGCUAACUCCGUGCCAGCAGCCGCGGUAAUACGGAGGGUGCAAGCGUUAAUCGGAAUUACUGGGCGUAAAGCGCACGCAGGCGGUUGAUUAAGUUAGGUGUGAAAUCCCCGGGCUUAACCUGGGAAUGGCAUCUAAGACUGGUCAGCUAGAGUCUUGUAGAGGGGGGUAGAAUUCCAUGUGUAGCGGUGAAAUGCGUAGAGAUGUGGAGGAACACCGGUGGCGAAGGCGGCAACCUGGCUCGAUACUGACGCUGAGGCGCGAAAGCGUGGGGAGCAAACAGGAUUAGAUACCCGUGUAGUC
rnacentral:rRNA from 1 species